rnacentral:rRNA from 1 species
UACGUAGGGUGCAAGCGUUCAUCGGAAUUCCUGGGCGUAAAGCGUGCGCAGGCGGUUCGGAAAGAGAGGUGUGAAAUCCCAGGGCUUAACCUUGGAACUGCACUUCUAACUACCGGGCUAGAGUACGUCAGAGGGGGGUAGAAUUCCACGUGUAGCAGUGAAAUGCGUAGAGAUGUGGAGGAAUACCGAUGGCGAAGGCAGCCCCCUGGGAUGAUACUGACGCUCAUGCACGAAAGCGUGGGGAGCAAACAGG